AUUUUGGGUGGAAUUGUUGAUAACUUACAAGCAGUUCGAUGUUUCGAGUUCUUCUCAAAUAUGCUCCAGGUAUAAAAGGGGAGGAUAUAUGCAAGCAAUUCAAAUUUCGAGCUCUCCCCCCUCCCGUAAUUCUUCCUCCUCUCUCCGCUCCCCUUCUCCUUCUCCCGCUUCCACGCGGCCACCCCUCGCUUUCUUCCCGCUCAUCGCCAUCCGAUUCGAAGCUCCCGCCGCCGAUGAAGAUCUCCGAGCUCUCCCCCGAGUACCGGGAGCCGCCGUCGCACGCCGGCCUCAUCGCCGACCUCAGCAAGGCCGUCUCCGACGUCGAGUCGUUCGCCGCCUCCGCGACGGCCCCGGAGAAGCUCGCCGCCGAUCUCCGCCGCAUCCUCACCAGCCUUGCCUCCGCCGCGUCCUCCUCGUCCUUCACCGAGUCGCUCUCGGUCCAGAUAUGGCGGCUCGGGACCCGCCUCUGGAACGCGGUGGUCGAUCGCGCCAACUCCGCCGCCCUCGCCGGGGGUCCCGCCGCGCUCGCCGUGGAGGCGGAGAUCCGGCAGGCGGCGCCGGAGCUCCUGCUCCUCGCCGGGAUCCCCAACGGUGUCCCCUCCGCGGCCGCGAAGGUCGCCUCCUUCUUCCACCGCUCCGGCCUGGCCUGGCUUGACCUCGGCCGCGUUGACCUCGCCUCCGCCUGCUUCGAGAAGGCCACGCCGCUGGUCUCCGCCGCCGCAACGGAGGAUCGGGGCGUCCUCCUCGAGCUCAACCUCGCGCGUGCCCGCGCGGCGUCGGACGCGGGCGAUCAAGCCCUCGCCGUCGCGCUCCUGAGCCGGUCCAAGCCCCUCGCCGCCGCAUCGCCGGAGGGUGCCAAAUCCCUCGCCCAGGGGUACCUCUCCAUCGGCGAGGCCACGCUCGCCGCGAAGCACUCGAAUCCCGCCGUCGAAGCGUCCACUCUCUUCACCGAAGCACUAGAUCUCUGCGAGAAGGCGGCCUCUCCUUCCAGCUCCAGCCCAAGGACUCCCCCUUACGGCGGCGCCACUCCUAAAACCCCAAAUCUAGAGGGGCUCAAGAGGCGAUGCCUCCGCUUCCUCGCUCUCGAGCGGCUCCAAGCCCAGGACUACGAAGGCGUGCUGCGUUGCAUCCGGGUCUCGAGGGCAUCAAUGGGGCUGGAGGAGGAGCACCCGAGCAUCGGGGUCAUGGCGAUGCGCGCGUGGAUCGGAAGCGGGAACAUGGCGGAGGCCGACAAGGAGCUCGAGCGGCUGAUGGCCAACGCCUUAGCAACGGAGAACUUGUGCGUGUCGGCGGCAGAGGCGUACCUCGCCGCUGCGGGGCCUGAGGCUGCACGCAAGGUGCUCAUUGCGCUCGCCGCGCGUUGCCGCGCCGGAGGUGCUGCUGCUGCAGUGAGGGUGGUGAAGCAGGUGAUCGACGGUGGUGGCGGGGGAAUUGGGCGUGCAAGGGCCAUCGCCGAGCUCGUGUCGGAUGAGAGGGUGGUCGCCCUGUUCGAUGGCCCCGGGAACACCCAUGAGCGUGGCACAAUGCAUGCACUGCUGUGGAACUGUGGCACAGAGCAUUUCCGCGCGAAGAAUUAUGAUACCAGUGCGGACUUGAUUGAGAGAUCGAUGCUUUAUGUGUCUCGUGAUGAAGAAAGCAGAUCCCGCCGUGCAGAUUGCUUCCGAGUCCUUAGCAUUUGCCACAUUGCCCUUCAGCAUCUUGAUCGAGCCCUCGAGUUCGUCAAUGAAGCCUACAAGGUUGAACCCAAUAUCAAGUGUGCUUUUCUGAAGGUUAAGAUUAAUCUGCAGAAGGGGGAGGAGGACGAGGCAUUCAAGCAGAUGAAGACGAUGGUGGGCUGUGUUGACUUCAACCCUGAGUUCUUAACACUCACUGCUCAUGAAGCUAUGUCCUGCAAGUCUUUUGGUGUGGCAGUUGCUUCGUUGAGCUAUCUUCUUGGCCUCUAUUCUGCUGAGAGGCCAAUGCCAAUGCCUGAGGUUGCUGUUCUGCGCAACCUUAUUGAGCUCCUCUCUCGUGAGCCAGGGACUGAAGCUGAGAUCCUGAAGUACUCAAGACGUGCCAAGCAACGGAUGGCUGAUCUUGGUGUGGAAAGCUUUUUUGGCAGUGGAAUUGUUGGGGGGCGUGAACUGAAUUGGUUUGCUGACCUUAGCUGGAAUAUGGGUUUAAGGGCGUCAAAGGAGAAGAAGUACAAUUUUGGCGCUGAGUUUUUUGAGCUUGCAGCAGAGUUCUUCAGCUCACGUAAUGCUGAAUGUGAUGAAAAUCGGUCCAAGGUUUGCAAAGCAUUGAUCAUGGCUGUCACUAUCAUGCUCAAUGCUGAGGAGCUAAACAAUUCUCCGUUGUCAGAUUCUGACAUUAAAAAAGGUGUUGAGAUGCUAAGCAGAGCUGGAAAGCUAUUGCCCUUGAUUUCACCCUCCGUUCCAGUGGCUUCUGAUCAGUUGGAGGCCAACAACUUCCUGUACCUUCACACCUUCAACUCCUACCAACUCAUGGGCAGGAUGGGGACCCCUGCACAUCCUCAGCAGCUACAACUGAUCAAGAAUUUUGCUUCCUCUAAAGCAUGCACACCUGCUAAUCUUCUUACACUUGGUGUAACAGCUUCUAAAGGGGCCCUACCUAACAUGCUGGCUGCUGAAUUUUCCCUGAAGGCCUGCAUCACCACUGCCCUUGCUUCACAAUCGCCAAACUACAGGGUAAUCAGCUGUGCACUCAGGAAGCUAGCCUGUCUCGCUGGCUUACAAGACCUAAAUGGUAGCAAGAGUGAUGCAGCCUAUGAUGUAUUUCAACAAGCCUACCAGAUUGUGGUUGGACUGAAAGAGGGUGAAUACCCAGUUGAGGAAGGCCAGUGGCUUGUAGCAACCGCCUGGAACAUGUCAUGUUUGCCUUUACGGCUUCACCAAGCUAAAGUGGCUAGAAAAUGGAUGAAAAUGGGGUUAGAUCUGGCUCGGCAUCUUGAGGGCAUGAAGGAGCGUAUAGCAUCCAUGCAGACGACCUUUGAGAACUUUGAGAGGGUGUCUGGUGAUGAACCUGAUGAGUGUAGUCAGGAAGAGGCACCAAAAGCCAGUAUUUCUGGUAGCAUGUCUCAACCUGUUCUAGUUUAGAAAUUGGUGAAGGCACAUUUCACAACUGGAGAUAAAUAGAUCAUUGACUAUGUGGAUUCUUUGUUGACUGUGACCAUGCCCUUGAAUUUUAUGCGUGAUCAUGUGUAGGGAGAUGGCAAUGUUUGCAACAAAGUUAAAUUUGGUGUCAAAACAGAUUUGCUGCUAUGACAUCUACGGCUCUACGGGACCAGGUUCAUAUGGUGCUGUACGGCCAUACCCAGCCACCGGUGCAGCAGCUACCCCUCUUUGGUUCAGCAAACACCUGAAGCGUGCCAAUCUUGACGUGACCAAUCUUGGGUCUUCUGCAAUCUUCUCAAUAGGAGUC